UACGUAGGGACCAAGCGUUGUUCGGAUUUACUGGGCGUAAAGGGCGCGUAGGUGGCUUAACAAGUCACUUGUGAAAUCUCCGGGCUUAACUCGGAACGGCCAAGUGAAACUGUCAAGCUAGAGUGCAGAAGGGGCAAUCGGAAUUCUUGGUGUAGCGGUGAAAUGCGUAGAUAUCGAGAGGAACACCUGCGGCGAAGGCGGGUUGCUGGGCUGACACUGACGCUGAUGCGCGAAAGCCAGGGGAGCGAACGGG
rnacentral:rRNA from 1 species